rnacentral:lncRNA from 1 species
CCCGCGAAUCUCCCCGGCGUCUGCGGCAAGACGGGAGCUGGUGAACAAGAUUACAAGACCCAUCAAUUGCCUCCUCCAACCACCGUGUGUUCCCAAGAGAAGGCCCAAGGCUCAACGUCCUCGCUCCAUGCCUCGCCGCAGCAGGACUGCAGGAGGGUGGCCGGCGUUGGCCCCUGUUCCCCGGGACCAGUGGUGUCUGAGGCGCAAAAGAAGGUAAUCCGGAGUCUGGGUUUUCAAGUGGUAAAUGGACAUAUUGAUGGGGAUACGCAGGAUCAGUAUAGCAAGCUGUUCUGCAAUCCCAUUCCUGAUACACAGCUGGCUGUGUUGGCAGCAAUUUUCGGUUGGGCAGUAGAGGAAGGGCUGGAGACCCGUCCGAGUCUCCCCCUGGAUGUGCUCUGAUCUGGGAACUCUUUAGGGUCGUCCUUCUUCUGUUUUAAUGAAUCCAAGUUCCAUUCUUGUUUGGAAUGUUCGCGAGCUGAACAUGAAGGCCCGUAGGGACUCUGUACGAGAUGUGAUUGUCUCGUCAGGAGCAGAUAUUGUUUGCCUUCAAGAAACCAAAGUAAUGGCCGUUAAUCAUUUCUUCCUUGGUUCAGUUUUUGGGUCUAAUUUUGAUAAGUUUGUUCUGCUACCUGCUGAUGGCACUCGUGGGGGUAUUAUCAUUGCUUGGAAGAGUGCAACAGUUCAGGUCCUAGCUUCCCGGGUGGACAGUCAUUCAGUCUCAGUUCAGUUCGCCGAGGUUGAAGGCCGCAAUUGGUGGUUUACUGGUGUGUAUGGUCCCAAGAGGACGACGACAAAUUGGCCUUCCUUCAGGAACUGGGAGAUAUCAGGGCAGCAUGUCCUGGGCCUUGGGCUAUUGCAGGGGAUUUCAAUCUGAUUUAUCAAGCUUCUGACAAAAACAAUAAUAAUCUGAAUCGUGCAAUGAUGGGUUGUUUUAGGCGCCUCUGGGAUGAUUUAGAAUGUGUUUGGUUUGAGGUCAAAGUGGGAUGAUGCGGGGGCGAUACCGUCCUCUCAAUUUUUUAAGAUCACGCCGCCACCAAAAACUACUCCUGUGUUUAUCUCGCUCCUACGUGACUCUCAUCCAAACACUAUAAAAACUAUGGCCGCCCCAUUUCAUCCUUUCAUAUACAUCCAACCAAACACAUCCUUAGAGCUGCAAGAAACCCCUCUUUCGGGACGAAAGUUUACCUGGUCCAAUGAGCGUGACAAUCCAUCCAACACCUGUCCGGCUGGACCGUGCCUUUUGUUCAGUUGAUUGGGAUGAUAUUUUUCCGGAUGCUGUGCUUCAGUUCAAAGCACUACAUCUGGAAUUUCAGAUCACUGCCCCUUGUUAUUAGGCCUUAAGGUCUGCUCCCAGGGUAAAAGGAGGUUUCAUUUUGAAAGUUUUUGGCCCAAGAUGGCAGUUUUUUUGGAUGCAGUCAAGCAAAACUGGGAGGCACCUGUUACUGCUACUUGCCCAGUCUAGAGUUUAUUUAUGAAACUGCAAAGACUCAGCAGAGCUUUGCAAAAGUGGAGCCAACGUAAGGUUGGCAACGUAAAGUUGCAGCUCGCAAUGGCUAAGGAGAUUUUGCACCGGUUGGAAAUCGUCAGGGACUCUCGUGCUUUAUCUCAAGGGGAGGAUUGGCUGCGCAGAAAGCUCAAGGGUCAUUGUUUGGGGCUGGUUUCUCUGGAUGAACUUCAUUUCUAAACGGCAAGUUGAGGACAAGUUAUAUAUUUCUCAGGAUGAGAAGGAGGAGAUAGUGGCAGAUUUCUAUGAGAAGUUGCUUGGUUCAGAAGAGGAGAGGGAAUUUUGUUUUGACCUUGCAGCCUUCCACAUGCAGCAGCAGCAUGAUCUGUCCCCUUUGGAAGCCCCUUUUGCAGAAGAGGAAGUUUGAGCAGUAAUUAGGGACCUACCGAUGGACAUGGCCCCUGGUCCGGAUGGCUUCACCGGUAGAUUUUAAGGUUGGCUGGAGUAUUAUUAGCAGCGAUGUGCUUGCUGCGCUGAAUGCAAUUUAUGGGGGCCAUGUGUUCAAAUUUAGGCUCUUAAACUCAGCAUUCAUAACCCUGCUCCCUAAGAUUGAGGAUGCUACCAUGGUGAAGGAUUAUCGACCUAUAAGCCUGAUUCACAGCUUUGUAAAGUUGGUCACCAAGAUCCUUUCUGCUCGCUUGGCACCAUUGCUGCCCAAGUUGGUCUCUAAUAACCAGAGUGCAUUCGUUGAAGGACGGAAUAUUCACGACAAUUUCCUGCCAGUACAACAGCUUGCCAGAGCCGUGCAUAAAAGCAAAGAGCCUCACAUCGAUGAAGUUGGAUAUUUCGAAAGCUUUUGACACUGUGUCCUAGCUCUUCCUAUUAGAGGUCCUGCAGCAUCUGGGUUUUGGGAGAUGGCGGUGUAACCUUCUGUGUUUGCUCCUGUCCACCUCCACCACAUAAGUUUUGGUGAAUGGUGUCCCUGGCUGCCCCAUUCUCCAUCGCCGUGGACUCAGGCAAGGCAACCCCUCUCCCCCAUGCUCUUUAUUUUGGUUAUGGACGUGCUUAACUCUCUGAUCCAACUGGCUUCUUCAGACAAUCUGCUGCUGCCCAUAGCUGGGCAAGGUCCCUGGCCUAGGAUUUCUCUUUAUGCAGAUAAUGUGAUUACUUUUUUGAAGCCUGAACUUUUGGACUUAUCUGUGGUGAGGGAUUUGUUACAUUGCUUCGGGGCGGUCUCUAGGCUCAAAACCAACUUGUUAAAAAGCUCAGCUAUAGUGCUCUGAGGAUGACAUUGUGCGUACUUUGAAUAUUCUUUCUUGCUCAGUUGGCAACCUUGUUCUUAUCUAGGUAUACCCCUCACAAUUAAGAAGCCUUCUAAAAGUGAUUUGUUGCCAUUGAUUGAUAAAGUAGCAAGCAAGCUGCCAGGGUGGAAGGCCCCUCUCUUGAGCAAAGUUUUUUUUUUUCUCGAACACGCAGAGAGCUGCGUAUCAUUAUAUUAAAAGUAGAAAGAAAUAAGGUCCAAAAUAGACCGGAGUACAAGUGACGCCUUACGACGGUCUAAACGUAACAAACAUAAACUGAUUCAUCUAUAAUGGCCUUAUGCUAGGUGCUUGGGUCUUAUGGAAUCAUAGAAACAGAUGCAUUUUUGAUGGCAUUUCUUCUAAUAUUGCUAAUUUCUUAAUUUAAGUUGGGGACGAGCGCCGUCUGUGGGAGACUGUUGGGGCCAAGGGCUUGUCCUCCCUUGCUGCCUCCCUCUCUUGAGCAAAGCUGGACGACUGGUAGUGGUUAAAUCAGUCCUCUUCAACCCCUAUUCACGUAAUGUUGGCGUUGGAUCUGUCUAAGUGGGUUAUUAAGGCCAUUGACAAGAAGAGACGGGGUUUCCUUUGGAAAGGCCAUGAACAAGCCAAUGGUGGUAAUUGCAUGGUCUCCUGGGCAAAGCCGCAACGGUACAAAGGCCGUUGCUGUACGGUGGCCUUGGGGUCCUUGAUCUAGAGCGUUUGGGCUGGGCGCUACGCAUACACGUUGGCUCUAGUUCAUGAAAACCGACACCUCGACACCGUGGGCUGGUCUCAAUUUACAGAUCCUGAGGCAGGUUAGGGCCUUGUUUGACAUGGCAACUGAAGUCAUUGUGGGCAAUGGUGAGAACACUAAAUUCUGGACAGAUUGGUGGCUGCAUGGUAAGAGAGUGGCUGAUAUGGUCCCUAACCUCUUUCGUGCAAUCCCCAUACGGAUGGCUAAAAGGCGUACAGUGAGUCAGGCUGUUCACAACAGAAGUUGGGUCUCCGAUAUCAUGGGUGCUCUCACGGUCCAAGUGCUGUUUGAAUAUCUCCACAUCUGGGAGCUGCUGGAGGAGGUGAUAAUCCAGCCCGACACCCUGGAUACUCUUGUUUGGAGGCUUUCUUCUUCGGGAUGCUAUAGCAGCAAAUCUGCUUAUGAAACUAUGUUCGUUGGCACCAUCAAAUUCUCCCCUUGGAAGCGAGUGUGGAAGGCUUGGGCUCCUGGAAAGUGCAAGUUUUUUAUGUGGCUGGCCCUCAAUAACCGAUGUUGGACCUCGGAUUGCCUGGCAAAAAGGGGGCUGUUCCAUCAGUCGGCUUGCCUCUUGUGUGACCAGGCUAUUGAAUCAAUCAACCAUGUCCUCUCUUCCUGUGUGUUGGCCAGGGAGGUCUGGACCUUGGUGCUGUUUGAGAAUAUCAAGCCAAAUGCACAGUUGGUUGUCCAGGCUGUAGCGACUGAAGGGUGUUUGGCGGGGGCAAAAGCCCUCCAGGACUUCGUCCUAAGGGUUGGCUCUUAGAGGUCGUGGUCACUUUUUUUCCUUUGUGUUUGUGUAAGGGCGGUGGUGUUGUACUGUUUGGCCAUGGGGGAUUCUUUUCUCCCAGGACCUUGACUUUGCUUUCUUAAUGAAAUGACGCGCAACUUUCUCGCGUGGUUCGAGAAAAAAAAAACAACACCGCUCUGCUUUGGCUUCCCGAUGGGGGUGUCGGAACACCCUGAACCGCAGAGACACGCUGCGCGCUAGGUUGGCCUUGCGAAAUCUCUCUCUCACGUGGCCAUCCUUGAUGUCCUAAUCAUGUAGUUCGAGCAGAGAAUUUGGAAUCCGGCCGAUUGGGUAGCCAAUUACAGCCUAGUAUGGAUAUGUGGGGAAGAAGCUCCUAGCAUCUUUCUGGACGAUUUCUGUUUCCUUCCAGUCUUGCAAGAUCUGAAUAGGAUUGUGGAAGGCUAUGAAUUUUGAAUGGUUCCGUAGGAGUUUCGCCCACCCCUGGGCCCUGGUAUUUAUUCAGUAUCAUAAAUGUUAGCACAUUUCUGUAUAGAUUUGGUCAAACUUCAAAUCAUUUGACUCGUUGAAAAGUGAGAAUUGCAUUUUUUUGGGACGGAGACAAUACUUUCUAACCAUAUGUGCAAUAUAGCAUACUGUUCCUUCUAUUAUGUAGCAUACCUGUCUAAAAAACUCUACAUAUAUGACUUUACAUUCCUUAGUUGUAAUCUGUCAGAUCCAGCUAACAACAAUUUCAGGUGAUAUAUACUGAACCAAGAGAAACGUCUUCUUUCUCUCUUUACAAGCCUAAUUUUCUGCAAUCUUUGCUUUCUUUUUUUUAUACCCAAACUGAAGUGUUUUCUGCAGCUGCCAUAGUUUGGCUGGUAGGGUGUGCAAGGCGCACACCAAUUUCUAGUGAUGUUUAUGCCAAUUUUCAAACUUACCAUAUUUAGGAUUUAAAUGAACCUCUUCUGUUGAAAUCACACUAGCAAGUGAGAUUGGUGUGCUGACAAAUGAACUGAAGUAAUGUUUGCAUCUUUAAUUUGACAAGUGUGCUUUCUAAUUUAUGAAAUUUCUAUGUUUCUGAUACAUGACUUCAUGCUUUAUGGUUUGACACUAUCUUCCGAUUGUGGUCCAUUUUAUCUUUAGUCUUUAUGUUAUUUGUAUACCUGAAUAUUGGAAUAAAAUUAAAAGGCACACAGCCAAUGAAAUACUAGCCAAGUUCUAUUUUUUCUUUCGGCAAAGUGCAUCUGUUACUUAUUCAAAUCUAUAAUAUGACAUGCCUGUACAGUGUACACACUCUGAACAAUCAUUUCAUCUCAUCAUCCUCCAAAAAUACAGUGCUUAUGUAUUGUUAUCUCCAGCAAUUCUUGAACUCCUUACGUGGCACCACUUACCCUUGUAAGCUGACUAUUAUCACUUAGCGUGGAGGUGGAAGACUUAUGGGUCAUCAACUUGUUUUUCGGACCGCCACUCAAGUAGAAAUAUUCUGCUUAGGCCUUUCUGAAAGUAAAGGUACUUCCCAUUUUCAAUAGCAGUUGCUAUGAUAAACUGACGGAGCAUUCUAGAGUCUUCAAAUUUGUAAAGAACGGAAUUGCAUUUAAGCAAUUUUUUAUUCAUAUGAUAGCUGCAAGGACAUUGAUUCGAGAUAAUUAUAUAUAUCACUUUGUUUUAAAUCUGAAAUGCAUACUAUUUGCCAUAUUCCCCCUUUCCAUAAAGAAGUGUAUGCAAUGUGGAAUAUGGUUCUUUAACUUUUUUAUUACUAAGUUGUGUUAUAUGACGUCCUUAAGCAAAUAUUCCAAUAUUAUUACGUUCCUGCAUUACCUUAUGCAUGUGCAUAAUCUUACCCGUACAAGUACAAUUUGAUUAACACACAAGGGACUUUUGUAGCUUCUAUCUAUACGUGUUCCAACAGGUGUGUAUUUAUUUUUCAAGAGAGGCAGACUUCAUCACCUUUUCUUGCUUUAUCAAUCCAUUUGCAUAUCCAUUUUUAUAAUCUUUUGCAUAUCCAGUUAGUUUGCACUGUCUCCUUAGCAUGACAUAAACUACUCAUGAGAAACGACAUAACCCUUUAGGGCUUGUUUAGGUGCUCUAG